rnacentral:rRNA from 1 species
AGCGAACGCUGGCGGCAGGCCUAACACAUGCAAGUCGAACGAACUCUUCGGAGUUAGUGGCGGACGGGUGAGUAACACGUGGGAACGUGCCUUUUUGUUCGGAAUAACUCAGGGAAACUUGUGCUAAUACCGAAUGUGCCCUUCGGGGGAAAGAUUUAUCGCCAUUAGAUCGGCCCGCGUCUGAUUAGCUAGUUGGUGAGGUAACGGCUCACCAAGGCGACGAUCAGUAGCUGGUCUGAGAGGAUGACCAGCCACACUGGGACUGAGACACGGCCCAGACUCCUACGGGAGGCAGCAGUGGGGAAUCUUGCGCAAUGGGCGAAAGCCUGACGCAGCCAUGCCGCGUGAAUGAUGAAGGUCUUAGGAUUGUAAAAUUCUUUCACCGGGGACGAUAAUGACGGUACCCGGAGAAGAAGCCCCGGCUAACUUCGUG